GCCAGUGUGGCAUAAUGGAUCGGGUGUUAGAUUAGGACUCUGGAAAUCAGGGUUCAAAUCCUCACUUGGUCA